UACGUAGGGUCCGAGCGUUGUCCGGAAUUACUGGGCGUAAAGCGCGCGCAGGCGGUCCGCGAGGUGUCACGUGAAAGCCCCGAGCUCAACUCGGGAGGGUCGUGGCAAACCGGUGGACUUGAGGCCGGUAGAGGUGGGUGGAACUCCUGGUGGAGUGGUGAAAUGCGUAGAGAUCAGGAAGAACACCCGUGGCGAAGGCGGCCCACUGGGCCGGAACUGACGCUGAGGCGCGAAGGCGUGGGGAGCGAACGGG
rnacentral:rRNA from 1 species